CUUGGUCAUUUAGAGGAAGUAAAAGUCGUAACAAGGUUUCCGUAGGUGAACCUGCGGAAGGAUCAUUAUCGUACAAAAUGUGUGAGGCAUGCAAGGGCUGCCGCUGACUUUUUAAUCACAAAAAGUCGUGCACGCCGGAGCGUGUCCUCUCGCAUAAAAUCCAUCUCACCCUUUUGUGCACCACCGCGUGGGCACCCUUUGGGAUCGAACCGAUCCAGGAGGGCGCUUGCGUUUUCACACAAACCCCCUUAUAAAAGUGUAGAAUGACCCCAUUUUUGCGAUAACACGCAAUCAAUACAACUUUCAACAACGGAUCUCUUGGCUCUCGCAUCGAUGAAGAACGCAGCGAAAUGCGAUACGUAAUGUGAAUUGCAGAAUUCAGUGAAUCAUCGAAUCUUUGAACGCACCUUGCGCCCCUUGGUAUUCCGAGGGGCACACCCGUUUGAGUGUCGUGAAAAUCUCAACCUCCUCGGUUUCUUCUGGACGCCGAAGGAGGCUUGGACUUUGGAGGCCUUUGCUGGCGUCUCUCGCCAGCUCCUCUCAAAUGAAUUAGCGGGGUCCUCUUUGCCGAUCCUCGACGUGUGAUAAGAUGUUUCCAUGUCUUGGUUUCUGGCUCUGUCGCCUUUGGGACCCGCUUCUAACCGUCUCAAGUCGAGACAACGUUUGAGCGUGUCUCCCUUCUCGGGAAACACCCUCGAGCCCACGAACCCUUGACCUCAAAUCGGGUGAGACUACCCGCUGAACUUAAGCAUAUCAAUAAGCGGAGGA
rnacentral:rRNA from 1 species